ACAAUGCAAGACUCCAAAAUAUGUUUCUCCAGUUUUCAUUGUUGCUUCUAGCUUUAUGUUCUUGCUCUUUGCUGGCUAACUGCUGCUGCUGCUGCUGCUGUUGCUGCUACCUUCAGUGAUGAGCUUCUUCGUUGUGUCAUUUUAUUAGAAUAGAAGCAAAAAAAAAAAAAAAAUAAAUAAAUAAAUAAAGAAAAAAG